rnacentral:rRNA from 1 species
CCCUUCGAUGUUCUGGGCAGCACGCGCGCUACAAUGGUCUUCGCAAACGGAUGCAUUCUCGAAGGAGGAUGCCAAUCUUGGAAUCUAUGCCUUGGUCGGGACAGUUGCUUGCAAUUUUUCGACUCGAACCAGGAAUUCCUUGUAAUCGUGAUUCAUCACAUCACGAUGAAUACGUCCCUGCCCUUUGUACACACCGCCCGUCGCUCCUACCGAUCGAAGAGUUAGGUGAAUUGUUUUGAUCGAUAAGAUUUGACUAUGGUCAACUCUCGUUGUGAAAUUCUGUGAAUCUGACUGUUUAGAGGAAGGAAAAGUCGUAACA